rnacentral:rRNA from 1 species
UACGGGGGGAGCGAGCGUUGUCCGGAAUUACUGGGCGUAAAGGGCGUGUAGGCGGUUUGGUAAGUCAGAUGUAAAAGCCCCCGGCUUAACCGGGGAUGGUCAUUUGAAACUGCCGGGCUUGAGUUCGAGAGAGGGUAGCGGAAUUCCCAGUGUAGCGGUGAAAUGCGUAGAUAUUGGGAAGAACACCAGUAGCGAAGGCGGCUACCUGGCUCGUAACUGACGCUAAUGCGCGAAAGCGUGGGGAGCAAACAGG